GCAAACGUGAUGAUAGGAAAAGUAGGAAGGCCCUGCAUGCAAAGAGAGGAUGGGUUGGUGGGAACCAUCUCUGAGGGACCUUGUGAAGUGCCUCCUGGAACGGAGCUGAAGAAACGUUAAGUAUUCAAAUCCGUAGCGGCUGCGUUAAAGCCUUGAGAGAAACAGGUUUAUCCUGUUUAAACAGAGUGGAACCACGGAAAUCCUUCGUCUCUGAU
rnacentral:ncRNA from 1 species